GACGAACGCUGGCGGCGUGCUUAACACAUGCAAGUCGAACGGAAAGGCCCUGCUUUUGUGGGGUGCUCGAGUGGCGAACGGGUGAGUAACACGUGAGUAACCUGCGCUUGACUUUGGGAUAACUUCAGGAAACUGGGGCUAAUACCGGAUAGGAGCUCCUGCUGCAUGGUGGGGGUUGGAAAGUUUCGGCGGUUGGGGAUGGACUCGCGGCUUAUCAGCUUGUUGGGGGGGUAGUGGCUUACCAAGGCUUUGACGGGUAGCCGGCCUGAGAGGGUGACCGGCCACAUUGGGACUGAGAUACGGCCCAGACUGCUACGGGAGGCAGCAGUGGGGAAUAUUGCACAAUGGUCGGAAGCCUGAUGCAGCAACGCCGCGUGCGGGAUGACGGCCUUCGGGUGGUAAACCGCUUUCGCCUGUGACGAAGCGUGAGUGACGGUAAUGGGAAAAGAAGCACCGGCUAACUACGUG
rnacentral:rRNA from 1 species